UACCAAUGUAUAUACUGAAUUUAUACAAGUUUAUUAACCAUAUAUGCCUAAAAGAUACUGCUUAUUGUAAAUCAUAUAACACAAUUCAUUGCUUAACUUUAUUAAUUGUUUCAAUUUAGUUUUCUGGGGGAAAAAGUAGAGAUGAAUAUAUAACCUGUUCAAAAAAUGCCAAUGUACUAAAAGUUACUUGUAGGAAUGUAUUAUAGAGUUAUUGAGGGGGGGGAAACACUUUAUGUAACUGUUUGUCCAUAUGUGCUCUCAUCAUCAAUGAACUAAAAUGCAUUUUAUUAAAAUACAUGAGCGAUAUGUGAACGUCACAAUAGCGCUUUUGCGCAUGCGCCAAAAUUCAAACACGCCCGCGCUAACGGCAGAGUCUGAGCAAUGGCUGCGGCUGAACAAACAGUCAUCUGCGGCAAGAUGUUUUUCUUAGUGGAAGGAUAACAAAUGUGCCAGUACCUUCACAUAAUAAACGACAAUGAUUUUAUAGACGGGCACGAAGACAGAUCAACAUCACUGAGUGGAGCGGAUGAAACGCCCUUGAAUGUGGCAGCGGUGCAGGUAAUGAGUCCCGAAAUUCUCAGAAAAUAGAAAUGGAGGCCGAACCUGCAGAUGUGGAUGGCAGUGAUGUGAAUGAUGGAGCAUCUACACAGAAAAGAUGCUGGAAUCCAGAAAUUUCUUCACCUGGGGCCUACUGGGGAUGGCAAUAAACAAAAAACUAACCAAGCUGUGGGAAUACAAACCUGUAGACCUUUAGCUGAACCACUAUAAUUGAUGUUCUGUUUCUUAUGCCUGUUCA